AAGCCGUGGUGUGGGCAUUGGUUAGUGUAGCUUCUAAACCGUUCCCAAGCUUCACUAAAGCUCUCGUUAUUGUGCUGCGUGAAACUUGAGAUCUGAUUCCUGAUCU
rfam:Eutrema salsugineum unplaced genomic scaffold scaffold_21, whole genome shotgun sequence.